UCUUAAGUAGUAUAGUGGUAGUAUCCCCGCCUGUCACGCGGGAGACCCUGAUUUAAUUCCCCGCUCAAGAG